rnacentral:rRNA from 1 species
AUUGAACGCUGGCGGCAUGCCUUACACAUGCAAGUCGAACGGCAGCACGGGUGCUUGCACCUGGUGGCGAGUGGCGAACGGGUGAGUAAUACAUCGGAACGUACCUUAUCGUGGGGGAUAACGCAGCGAAAGCUGUGCUAAUACCGCAUACGCCCUGAGGGGGAAAGCGGGGGAUCGAAAGACCUCGCGCGAUUAGAGCGGCCGAUGCCUGAUUAGCUUGUUGGUGGGGUAAAAGCCCACCAAGGCGACGAUCAGUAGCUGGUCUGAGAGGACGAUCAGCCACACGGGGACUAAGACACGGCCCAGAAUCCUACGGGAGGCAGCAGUGGGGAAUUUUGGACAACGGGGGCAACCCUGAUCCAGCAAUGCCGCGUGAGUGAAGAAGGCCUUCGGGUUGUAAAGCUCUUUUGUCAGGGAAGAAACACCGGCUCUAACACAGUCCGGGAAUGACGGUACCUGAAGAAUAAGCACCGGCUAACUACGUGCCAGCAGCCGCCGUAA